GCAGUUGUAGCUUAAUGGUAAAGCUAAUCACUGUUAAUGAUUUGAUCUCUGUUCAAUUCAGAGCUACUGCU
rfam:Smittium culicis strain GSMNP scaffold-9575, whole genome shotgun sequence.